rnacentral:rRNA from 1 species
AUUGAACGCUGGCGGCAUGCCUUACACAUGCAAGUCGAACGGUAACAGGUCUUCGGAUGCUGACGAGUGGCGAACGGGUGAGUAAUACAUCGGAACGUGCCCGAGAGUGGGGGAUAACGAGGCGAAAGCUUUGCUAAUACCGCAUACGAUCUCAGGAUGAAAGCAGGGGACCGCAAGGCCUUGCGCUCACGGAGCGGCCGAUGGCAGAUUAGGUAGUUGGUGGGAUAAAAGCUUACCAAGCCGACGAUCUGUAGCUGGUCUGAGAGGACUACCAGCCACACUGGACCUGAGACACGGCCACGAGUCCUACGGGAGGCAGCAGUGGUGAAUUUUGGACAAUGGGCGCAAGCCUGAUCCAGCCAUGCCGCGUGCAGGAUGAGGGCCUUCGGGUUGUAAACUGCUUUUGUACGGAACGAAAAGACUCUGGUUAAUACCUGGGGUCCAUGACGGUACCGUAAGAAUAAGCACCGGCUAACUACGUGCCAGCAGCCGCCGUAAAAC